UACGUAGGGGGCGAGCGUUGUCCGGAUUUACUGGGCGUAAAGCGCGUGUAGGCGGCCGGAUAAGUCGGGUGUGAAAGCCCGGGGCUCAACCCCGGGAUGCCGCCCGAGACUGCUCGGCUUGAGGACGGAAGAGGGGCGUGGAAUUCCUGGUGUAGCGGUGAAAUGCGUAGAUAUUGGGAGGAACACCAGUGGCGAAGGCGACUUUCUGGACUGUGUCUGACACUGAGGCGCGAAAGCUAGGGGAGCGAACGGG
rnacentral:rRNA from 1 species